CAAGAGGACUCAGGAUACCGAUUCUCGAGGCCCCUGGCGGUCCCCUUGGCAUAAAACACUUCAAUCACACGUAGCUUUCUGGAGCAACAGACCAUGGGCUGAGGAUUGAGUUUCCGGGAGCCACAGCAAGGCUCUCCAAUGCCAUCUUUCUGUCUCACUGCUGAAAGUCAAGAAUCACAGUGCUGAUCUUCAGAAACUGUGGGUUCAGAAACUCACCUGGUCACUAGAAUUACUCUCCCCACUUUACCUCUGCUACCCCGGAGAUCCCCGAGACCAGUCCCUUUUGGGGAGCCCUUGAUGGCAUCUUCACUAGUAGCCCUUUGGCUCACAUGGGAAUACCCCCAGGGACUCCUCGCAAGAGGGCUAUGAGGGAG
rnacentral:lncRNA from 1 species